CCAAGAAAACACUGUUGUAAAACCACUGGGGGGUGGUGAGGGCACCAACCCUUUGCACUCCUGUUCAUUUCUAUGAGGUCCCUGCAACACCCAUCCCAAGCCAGAUUUUACUAGCUCCAACCUUUAGACCCAACUCUCAGGCAAUGUUGCCCUUCCUUAGAUGAUCUGUUGGUUUUGUUACAUUUUUGUUUUCUUUUUCUUCUUUUAGUUCCCACAGAGCCUGUUCAACCUGUACAACCCACAGGACGUUAUCAAUUACGUAAUAGUGAUCCGGCCCGAGUCUCUGCAUUUCCUGGGGUUAUUGGCUCAAUUAGAAAGACAUGGGGAGAAGCUAUUAUGCCAGUCAGCAGAAAGAAGACCAGCUUGGAAACUAAGAACCAGGAAAAGUCAAGCCACUUGAAGGGCUGCCAAAGUCACCAGCACCUCAUUUACAAUGCAAAGGUAAAGAAACGCAGAGGGCGCCAGAAUCCCAGAGGGAAUUACUAUUCGUGCGCCGCCAAGCCGCGCCAGGGCACAAACCACCCAGUUCUCACCCGCCAACGCCCUCGGCUCCCAAAAGCUAGGGCUAUAAACUUGGAAGGACCGCUAUUUUACAACGAAGUUUUCAGUCGGUGAGUGCUGCACUCCAAACAAACUUUUCUGCCUCUGCGGGAACACUUUAAUUCAGACCAAACAUUUGAAAAGGUUAAACCCUGAAGAUUUCAAUUUUAGAACACGGGCGAAAAUUAACCCCUUGCUUCAAAGACUGUUCAGAAUUCAUCUUCGAGAUGAAAUGCAAAGGGGUGCGCCAGCUACAAGAGCAGGAGAGAAUAAACCGCACUCUCGCUAGCG